CACGUAGGGGGCGAGCGUUGCCCGGAUUUAUUGGGCGUAAAGAGCUCGUAGGCGGCUCAGUAAGUCAGGUGUGAAAACUCCAGGCUCAACCUGGAGACGCCACUUGAUACUGCUGUGGCUAGAGUCCGGUAGGGGAGCAUGGAAUUCCUGGUGUAGCGGUGAAAUGCGCAGAUAUCAGGAGGAACACCAGUGGCGAAGGCGGUGCUCUGGGCCGGAACUGACGCUGAGGAGCGAAAGCGUGGGGAGCAAACAGG
rnacentral:rRNA from 1 species